rnacentral:rRNA from 1 species
AAUAGAUACCCGGGUAGUCCACGCCCUAAACGAUGUCUACUAGUUGUCGGGUCUUCAUUGACUUGGUAACGCAGCUAACGCGUGAAGUAGACCGCCUGGGGAGUACGGUCGCAAGAUUAAAACUCAAAGGAAUUGACGGGGGACCCGCACAAGCGGUGGAUGAUGUGGAUUAAUUCGAUGCAACGCGAAAAACCUUACCUACCCUUGACAUGGUCGGAACCCUGGAGAGAUUCGGGGGUGCUCGAAAGAGAGCCGAUACACAGGUGCUGCAUGGCUGUCGUCAGCUCGUGUCGUGAGAUGUUGGGUUAAGUCCCGCAACGAGCGCAACCCUUGUCAUUAGUUGCUACGAAAGGGCACUCUAAUGAGACUGCCGGUGACAAACCGGAGGAAGGUGGGGAUGACGUCAAGUCCUCAUGGCCCUUAUGGGUAGGGCUUCACACGUCAUACAAUGGUGCAUACAGAGGGUUGCCAACCCGCGAGGGGGAGCCAAUCCCAGAAAGUGCAUCGUAGUCCGGAUUGCAGU